rnacentral:lncRNA from 1 species
GGUUUCUAUGAAGUUAAACUUAAGGUAAAAUAUUUAGAAAGCUGUGAAAAUUGCAAAAUUUGGUUGAACAGAUAGGGAUUUUUAAUUGGUGGUCUGACACCUAAACUUUCGGAAACUUUAUUUACUGCUAUAGGUCGUGCCCAGAUGAAACAAGACUAAACUGGAACAAUAGCCGUGCUUGCUUUUAUAGUUUUGAAACGACACAAUUUUGUCUACAGACACAAAAAACGACAACAGUUUUGACGUUUAGAAAACAGUUUGAGUGACG